GCGCUCGUAGCUCAGGGGAUAGAGCAGCGGUCUUCUAAACCGCUGGUCGCUGGUUCGAAUCCAGCCGGGCGCGCCA
rnacentral:tRNA from 2 species